ensembl:lncRNA
CAACAAACUCCCUUCCAAAUUUUGGCUGUACGCACAAUGACAUCCAGAAAGUCUCAGUACAAAUAGGUCUUCAUCCUUUCUCUUCCUAUGUGCAAAUGUAAAAUGAUCUCAGAAAAGUUUUUCACUUCCUAAAGUAUAUACCAGCUAUGAAUGACAGGAGGUUUUAUCAUGGCUGGUUUGGAAUAAAUACGAGCAGAUCUGUCAGGGUCCAGAAAUGCAAAAUGAAAUUUGACAUUCAGUCAUUCUGCCAAAAAGGAAUCACAAAAAGCAUGCAAAGUGCAAAUACACAAAUAAGAUUGGAUGCAUGUUCAAAUUCCAAGGAAGAAAAAUAUGGAACAGGAGUAACUAGACCCAUCAUCUACAGGAGAACUGUAGAGAAUCCUUCCGGACUGAGGCCACGUCUGACUGAUGUUUCACCAUGCACUGUAAAACUGCUGAAGACCAUCCUUUGCAGUCAGUGUGGCAGAAUAAAUAUUUCUUUUCUCCUACAGAAAAGUCAGGCACUGCUCACCUGUUCUUAAUGCAAGGUCUUGCACACCUGAUGAUGAAGAUGAGUGCUGUUAUUAAACUGAUCAAGUGAACAUACCGUGGAGUGAAACAAGGUGCAUUUGUGGAGGCCUAAGCACAUUUGCUACACCACCCUCAGUCUGAAAUUAUACACCAGAAUGAACCAGAAACCUUCUAUUGUAGCGUGUGGCAAUAAGCACAUGGCCCCCACUUGACCAUCACUUAGCUUAGUGUCUAGCUAACUAAAGUAUGAACAUCAAAUAACUUGUCUCCUUAUGAAAAAAAUAGGAAAUACAUUUAAAAUUAUUGGGCACGGGGCAAAUGUCUGCUUUGCUGUUUUCGUCUGGGAGGAUGGAGAACAGGAACAAGAUGUUUUAUUGCUUGGUGUACAAUUAUACUGUCAGCUCAACGAAAACGCAGAUGGGUGAAUAUGGUAACAACAGGCUGGUACUAUAGAAACUGCUACUGUAAAGGGUUAACAGAGACUGCACUUGCUGUACAUGACCACGGAGCAGAGAGAUCGGCAGUGUGAAUUUUGUGUGAUCCUCCGGAGCAGGCACGCACACACACAGAGAUAGGGACACCUUGACUCCUCCGUGUGCGCAGUGCCCACCUGUCCGGCCCCGCGCUGCCCGGCCCGGCGCCGCUUCCCGCGGGGAUGCGCCGCUCCUUCGCGGGGGGCUGUGGAUGGAGAUGCGGUUUCUGUAGCGCUGGGCUGGCUGCGGGGAGCCAUUGGCUGGCGGCUUUGUGAAUUUCAUUCAGUUUGGUCCAAUAGCGGGAGGAGAGCGCCUGGUACAGCCUGGACUUCUUCC